AUAAAGGCAGGAGUUAGCUCCCUUCCCGGAUGUUUUUGUUGUGCAAUAAAACUAACUAUAUAAGUCAUGGCGAUUUCGGCUUUGUUCAUUUUCAUUCUGAUUCACAAUGCCAACCAAAGAAAGAACACAGAGGGAAAGAGAAGAAGCUGUGAAGGCUGAAGCAAGGAAGUGUCGUCGACUCCUGGAUUUCUUCGCGCCAAACAGACCCGAUGUAGAAGAUUCAGAACUUGUUUGCUAUGACAUUGACAAGUGGUUGUCAUCCAGUGGCCCAGCUCCUCAAACAACUCAGAAGAAGAAAGAUGCAGGUCACAAGCUUGUCUUCGAUACCAAGUGGAAACAAGGUCGCCCCCGUGUGGCCAAGUUCUUGGCACGAAAGAAGAGGAGAAUAUGAACGAAUAAUUUUAUGAACUUACAUCAAAGCAUGCCAAACAGACCCAAAUGAUGUCAGCCACAGUAAAUUACUGAACCUUAAUUGUUGUGCUUUUUUGUUUGCUGAAUGCACUUUUGAAUUUUAAAGUGCCCUUUUUUCUCUGAGUCUACCCUGCCCUUUCAUAAUCCUGGGGGAAACACUAGAGGUGGUAAGGAAGUGC